rnacentral:rRNA from 1 species
CUUGUUGGUAAGGUAACGGCUUACCAAGGCUAAGACGGGUAGCUGGUCUGAGAGGAUGAGCAGCCACACUGGAACUGAAACACGGUCCAGACUCCUACGGGAGGCAGCAGUAGGGAAUCUUGCGCAAUGGGCGAAAGCCUGACGCAGCGACGCCGCGUGAGCGAUGAAGGCCUUCGGGUUGUAAAGCUCUGUGGGGAGAGACGAAUAAGGCAUGGCUAACAUCCAUGUCGAUGACGGUAUCUCCUUAGCAAGCACCGGCUAACUCUGUGCCAGCAGCCGCGGUAAGACAGAGGGUGCGAACGUUGUUCGGAAUUACUGGGCGUAAAGCGCGUGUAGGCGGCAACGCAAGUCGGGCGUGAAAUCCCACGGCUCAACCGUGGAAGUGCACUCGAAACUGCGUAGCUAGAGUCCUGGAGAGGAAGGUGGAAUGCUUGGUGUAGAGGUGAAAUUCGUAGAUAUCAAGCGGAACACCGGUGGCGAAGGCGGCCUUCUGGACAGUGACUGACGCUGAGACGCGAAAGCGUGGGGAGCAAACAGGAUUAGAUACCCUGGUAGUCCACGCCGUAAACGAUGAGUGCUAGGUGUCACGGGCUUUGACCCUCGUGGUGCCGAAGCUAACGCGUUAAGCACUCCGCCUGGGGAGUACGGCCGCAAGGCUAAAACUCAAAGGAAUUGACG